UCGGAUAUGGUGUAACGGCUAACAUUGCCGCCUCUCAUCACGUGAUCGUUGCGCGGCAGCUCGGGGUUCGAUUCCCCGUAUCCGAA